ensembl:lncRNA
UGGCCUUUUUUGAUCCAUGAAGUAGGAAGAACUUGGAUGACGUGUGGUGAAGCAGCAUAGUAAAGCAUGAGUAUUUCCUGGUCUCCGGACCACUGGAUGAUUUCAAUACUCAGGAGGUGCAGGCACAAAGAGGAAGAGGCAGCAGCCCUAGCCCUUUGCUCUGUGAUGCACCUCAACCACUGUGGAUAUGUUGGGGCAGUCAGGGUCUGGUUAAAGAAGGGCACUCUUUGGCCAGCCUCUGGCAACUCUCUGUGGGCAUGCUGCUUCAGCCCAUGCAGGAUCUCCUAGUGAUCUGGUAUGUGUAAGGGACAUCAACGGAAGGGAUAUUCUGAAGAGCUGCCAAAGAGAAGGUGCGCCGGUAACUGAAGGAGGCCCUUGACAUCCCCCAUCUCUGGAGGUGAGGUUGACCUGCAAAGCCAACAUACACACCUGCUGGCAAUUAUCUUGAAGGCAAAGUCUUUUAACCUGGAGCUGUGGGUGCUCCUUGCUAGCCUGCCAGGGCCCACUCCAGUCUCCAGUGGCUGGAUUUGACCUAGGUAGGACCCAAAGCUAAAGCCACAAGGUAGCCAAACUCAGUUGGUCAGACUGAAUUCUAGCCAGGUGUUUUUCUGUCCUGUCUGUUUUUCUGUUCCUUUUGUUCUGCCCUCAUUUCUGGCAUACCUGUAGGAAACUCAUUUCAUUUUCAUCCUGUGCAGCCUCCCCAGGGGGACAUGCUGAAAUCUGGGGUUGACCAGAAGGCAGAGAAGGACUAGCUUCUAUUAGUAGAUGAAUGUGAAUUUGAUCAGCAGCUCCCUGUUCUGUCAGUUCUAAUGGGCAUCUGUGGGAAUAGGGAGCUGAAUCCCAUGAACCUCCUCAUGAGCUAGAGUUCUGUGGAUGCUCCCAAUGGUCCUGUUGGGGGUUUUCCAAGCCUCAUCCAGAGUGCUUGGUAUUGCAGGACUUCCUCUGAGACAUCCCCUUGAUGCUGUUCACAGCUGACCUCUAUAAGGACUGGAUGCAAGCUUUGGAGAAACCAAGCAAGCAGGAGAAGUUGGAAGAGUGGAAAGUGUAAGUCUGGCAAGUCUGGCAGUCUGCCUGUUAUGGAGGCACUGGUAGAGGCCUUGGACUUGCCUGUCAAUCAAUGAUCUUCUUUAAAAAGUUUGUGCUGUUGGGUUGCAUUUUGGGGAAAGUGGUACAGGAAGCAUUUCUGUAGUUACUGGAGCAUUCCCUUAAGGGAUUUGAGCAGAUUGCUCCGUGAAACAACUCCUGUUAGAAGGCAAGAGAGGUGGCAGUACCUUAGCUAAUAAUAUAGUCCCUCUGUUGUACAUUGGGCCCAUCAGUUCAGCUCUUGUGAUUAUCCCUUGCCGAGCUGCAAUGGGACAUUAUUGAGUGGUACUGCUGUGAAGGCAUGGAGACAAGCAUAUGUGUGCUUUUCUCUUCGUAGAUGUCACCUCAUCAGUGUGAGCUGAAUGGAAACUUUCCCCUUGUACUGGGUCUGGCUGGGAUGGAGUUAACUUUCCUUGAAGCAGCCCAUACAGUGCUGUGCUCUGCAUUUGUAGCUAGAACAGUACUGGUAUCACACCAGUGUUGUGUCUACUGCUGAGCAAUACUGGCACAGAAUCAGGACUCCCUCUAACCCUCCCCGCUAGAGCCAGCAGGCUGGGGGUGGGCAAAAGGUGAGGAAGCAACAUCACCAGGGCAGCUGACCUAAACCAACCAAAGGGAUAUACCAUGCCAUAUGAUGUUACACUCAGCAAUAAAAGGUGGAAAAAGGAAGAAGAAGGGAGGGAU